GGACGGGUGCAGAGGGAGCCUCACCCUGUGUCUGUGUCUGUGUCUGUGUCUGUCCCCACGGGAGUGUUGGUGCCCGGGGGCCGGGACGGAGGACGACUCAUUCCUGUUCUCCUUCAUUCAGGACCUGGAGCUGACCCUCUGGGCGACCAUUCUGGCCGUCAUCUGGCUGCACUCCUUCGCUGCCGACACCAAGCUGGAGUGGGAUCUCCUGGUCAACAAGUCCCUCUCCUGGGUCAAGGCCACGGGAGCUCCUGACCUUGCGGACUGUGUGAAAGCAGCAAACGCUCUUUUGAAAACCUGCGUCCUGCCCGAGACGCUGGGACUGUGAGGGGGAGGCGUGAAAAUGGUGCAUCGACCCAGAGAGUCGACCUGUGUCCCUCCCGCUGUGUGAUCUCCGCUGUUAUUGCUUCCCCUCUUGUAUCCGGGCGGCUUCGAUCCGGACAAACCUACCCCUGACACCUUGUGUUGGCCGACGGAGUUGUCAUCACUGCCCCCCUCUGCUUCAUGUAACACCGUUACUGUUCCAAUAAACCUGCUUGCUGCCUCAGUC